CUUUGUUUCUUUGCAGGUGCCGUCGCCGUCCUCAGCGUGCCAAGGAACGGAGGCGAGCGGGUGUCUUCCGGGCAGACUCUGGAGUCAAAUCAAGAUUUGAGGUAGCAUGAGGAGGUUUGUAGCCAAAGUUCGGAAAGAGCAGCACCGAAGCGCACGACAACGUCUCAGCGUCCGCGUCCAACCGGCGAUGGAUUUUGUCAGCUCGUCUUCCCAAAGCUAAGUGUCGGGGCCCAUACUUGCGGGGAGGGAAAAAGCCUUUACUCUCACAUGGGGCAAUUUGAUGUUAGCUUAGUGGAGCAGUCUGUAGCGGAACAGGUCCCUCGGAAGUAAAGGGAGAGGGUUUCUCCUGGCCUCACCGGAGCCUUUGCCGGGCAGGGCAGUUCCGACCCGUCUCCACGUUCUCGCGAACUUUGCGUCGUCAGCCUCCUUCGACCCUCGACGACGUCGUGGAUCUUUCUCCCGAGGAGCUCACCUUCAGGUCCGGAGCUAUAGCCACCAUCACCUGGCAGUCUUCGCUUCCUUCUCUAGGCCCACCCAGCCUCCCGAGCAUCCUCUUAACUGCUUUGGCAGCACCUCCUUUUAAGGAGCUGUUUCAUCAUCACACACUCUUGCCGUAGGACUCGCUUUCCUUCGGCAUCUUUGGCCUCUGGCUCAUCUCGCACUAGAAAUCUUGAAUCCAUAAGGUGUAACUGCCAGGCAGUUUCCACUCGUGUCCGUGUCCUCUGUGUCCGUGUCCUCCGUGUCCGUGUUACGUAAUCUGCAUCCAUUGUCUUCUGUGUCAUAGGCCUUUUACAUCUCGAUGCUGUAUCGGCAUCAUUCUGUGCCAUAUCGGCCAUAUUUUACUCACGUUCCUUCCUGGACAUUGCUUAUUCUGCCAUCUUUACAUUUUUACUCUUUGAGACAUGAAGAAGUACACAAGAUGUUGUCAUCGAUCUUCCAUCUCAGCUUUGGCAUCGCCUUUUUUCCCCCCGUGCCAUUCUCUUGGGCUUCUACAGGGAGCGUCUUACACCCUCCUCACAUGACCAUCAUAACUCAGUAGGUUCCAUCUUCUCAAAGGGUAUAGCGCUCAAGAAUUCAUCUUCCAGAGAGUUCUCAAGUCCUGGUUUAUAUUGUAUGUUCUUAUGUUGUCUGUACCUAUCUCGGUGUAUAUUGUAUGUAAUUAUAUUGUAUGUACCUAUGUUGGCUUAUAUUGUAUGUAAUUAUAUUGUGUGUACCUAUGUUGACUUAUAUUGUACGUUAUUAUUCUGUAUGUACCUAUGUUGGCUUAUAUUGUAUGCACUUGAAUUGUAUGUAAUUAUCUCGGCACGUAUUGUAUGUACUCGCAUGGUAUGUAAUUACCUUGGCUUAUAUUGAAUGUACUCGUACGGCGUGUAAUUAUAUUGGCUUAUACGGUACGUACUUACGCCGUACGUACUUGCGUCGGCUUAUAUCGCGUGUACUUAUAUUGCGCCACUUAGGGUCCGAGCUGCCCUGCCCUGGCACGUAGUCACAGUUAGGUAGCACAGUUAUAAAAACUUUACCAUUCAUCUGUCUUCUAUGGGAUUUUGGGUAGAAAACUUAUGGGCCCAGAGCGGGGACAAGUCCUAGCUGUAAGCUAGCCACUCGUCGAUCGCCUCCCGUUGUCUCACAGGUCCCCGAGGCGACCGAUUUUCCCGGAAUCUACCGUUUGACGUCGAGCGGCAGCCGGAUGACGUGUCGAAGCACAUUCUUCAGCGUUUCAAGUAAGGGCCGCAGCGAGCGUGUAAGUCGAAGAGCGUGCGUGGGAGCGAGCGACCGUCCGCAUCCGCUCGUUGCCGCACGUACGAGCGUACGCUCAGCAGUUCUAAGCUUGGGUGUAUGACUUUUGCCUUUCAGGUUUUUCAACACAUUUUAAAAUGUAGAAUAAAAAAUCCCCAGCCGGGGGUUUUUUUUUUUCCCCCC